CAAGAACACAGGUCUCUCACCCUGACAAAUUGAGAAUUCACUCAGCAUUUUAAUCCAUUAAUUUGCUGCUGCAGAGCCAGUUCUGUCUCGGAAAUAACCACCCCAGAUGCCAAGGCCCUGAAAGAUUGCUGUCUGAAACGUUUAUUGGAUAAGGAAAUUAAAAAAUCGUCUCAAAUACCAGAUGUGCAAGAUAAUGCUUGUUCUCAUUGUCAUUGUCAACUUCCACAAAGAUUGUUUGUAGUGGAACGUUGGUGCGAAUGUAGAAGUAAGAAAUACAUCAGGGAAGAAACCCCAAGUUUGCUGCAGAAGUCAUUGCUUGAUUGGCAUUAUAAGAACAACUAGGCACAAAGUUUACAAAGAACUUUUCUGUUGGUGCUCUGAUCUGAUCAACAACACAAAUGUGAGUACGGCAGGAAUAGCCAGAUGAUUCCAUUUUAGAAACAAGAAAACAGGCUUGGAGUUGUCUGUUUGCUUAGAGUAUUUGCACAUUGUGUUCUGACUUCACACCCUGUUUUUCUGUGUAUUUUACAAAUAAAGUCAAUUCUUGGCUUUCCCUUUUUCA
rnacentral:lncRNA from 1 species